rnacentral:misc_RNA from 1 species
GAUGAAGAACGCAGCGAAAUGCGAUAAGUAGUGUGAAUUGCAGAAUUCAGUGAAUCAUCGAAUCUUUGAACGCACAUUGCGCCCUUUGGUAUUCCUUAGGGCAUGCCUGUUCGAGCGUCAUUUAAACCUUCAAGCUCAGCUUGGUGUUGGGUGACUGUCCGCUUCACCGCGGACUCGCCUCAAAAUUAUUGGCGGCCGGUACAUUGGCUUCGAGCGCAGCAGAAACGCGAACUCGGGCCCGUCGUAUUGGCUCCCAGAAGCCAUCUUCACAAUUUUGACCUCGGAUCAGGUAGGGAUACCCGCUGAACUUAAGCAUAUCAAUAAGCGGAGGA